UACAGAGGGUGCGAGCGUUAAUCGGAUUUACUGGGCGUAAAGGGCGCGUAGGCGGAUAUGUGAGUGUGAUGUGAAAGCCCUGGGCUUAACCUGGGAAGUGCAUCGCAAACGACAUAACUGGAGUAUAUGAGAGGGUGGCGGAAUUUCCGGUGUAGCGGUGAAAUGCGUAGAGAUCGGAAGGAACGUCAAUGGCGAAGGCAGCCACCUGGCAUAAUACUGACGCUGAGGCGCGAAAGCGUGGGGAGCGAACAGG
rnacentral:rRNA from 1 species